CUUUUCCAUUCAGCAGCCAACCAAGAAGGUCGGUCAAAUUUUGGGGAAGAAAAACAUUUUAAAUAUCUUUUACUAAAUAAGGAAUAAGUUGUUUCCAAUUUCAAAAUCAUUAAGAUUAAUCAUGUCAGAUGAUAAUUUUACAAUGUAAUAACUACGAUGGCUUUUAGAAUUUGAGGAUUUGAGCAGAUUUUAAUGUUAGCACACGUGGAAGGUUUAUACUGGCGGCUUGUAACUGCGUCAAUUAUACUUGAAUUCUCAUAUGUGUAAUUAGAAAUUACAUAGAUUCUUUUUAUUUCAAAUUGAUGUAAGCAUGCCGCCGGUACGACAAAAACGAGGUAGCAGAAAACCAACAAGGGGGGGGGGGGGUGCCCAAUCCCAGGUACAAACGGAGCCGCCGGUCCCGCAGGGUGGAAUAACCAGCGACGAAAUACCGUCUAGUAAUGCCGUCCAGCCCUUUCAGACAGGUGAUACAUGUAUCACUAAAUGACAACGAUUAAUACCAAAACGGUGCCUCGGCUGCUGUCUUGCCGUAAAUACAUGUGGAUACUCACCAUCAUGAUAACACAAGUACAAGAUGUGGACGACCCACAUUUAUCUCCUCAAAAGAAUCGAUAGCUUUCGUUUUAACUAUGUAAAUGUCAUCUACUUCCAAUGUUUAGUUACCUGAUAGGUAUGGAUGGAUUUACUUUAUUAGGUUGUUGUGAAUAUUGUAGGAUCUCAGGGGCGGAUCCAGGUAUUGAAGUUAGAAGGUGCAACUUGAUUCAUGAGGGAGGGAGUCUGGGGGCCGCCUUAAGAAGGCUGCUGGAUUUUAUACGACUUGAAAUAUUUCUCCUAUGUAGUCAAAUGCUUUUACUAUUUUUUGUCAUUUUUAAUAGGUGAAAUUAAUAAAAUGACACAAAUUUUAAGGUUUUCUUCCAAUAAAAGUAACGACAAAUCAAAAGAUUUUGUCAUUUAUUUCUCUGAGAAUGGAAAAAAAAUAUUUCUUCUUUUAUCGUUUAUUUUUUUAAAAACAAAAAUACUAUGAUUUUUUUUAACAAAAGACCAAAAAUUAAACAUUUUAGGAGGGGGGGGGGGUCUCCUUACAUUUGCCACUGGGAUAUGUUAUUCUGCCCACACUUUGGUUAAACUGGAGAAAAGGAUAUAUACUGCUUCAACGGUUCAGGUAUAGCUAAGCGUUAAGGGCGUCCGUGUCGCAUUUGGUUACGAUCGUGGUGCUGUGCCACACCUGCCUAGGACGUGUAUCAUUGGUUGUGACUGUUCCUUCGUCAAGUGUCCGGCAUUAGAGGUAAAAUUCACGGGUCUUUUGGGUAUGACAUUCCAAAACAUUGGCACGAUAACGAAUCAACGCUGGUACAGCCCUGAAGGUCAUGUAUAGGUCAAACUUUGAGACACUUCACCUAGAGUCGGUGACGUCUGUACUAGAGUAAACAUUUCUCGAAUGGAGCGUAAAAAAACCCCAUAUUAUAUGUGUUGUCUUUUACAGAACUUUGUCCACUUAGAUGCGUUAGCAGUACACGUGUAUGGAAGAAUGUACAUGUAAUAUACCGCUUUAUGUCUCCAAUCUGGUCUGCUCAAACUCCAUUAAUUACCGUCUUCCUUGGAAGACGGUAUACAGAGUUGAAGUGUUUUACAGUCUUCGGACUUUGCACUUCCUCUCUUUUUUCAUUGGUAGAAAGUGCAUGAAGUGAAAAUUUUCAAUUAUUUCAUUGGUUGAAAUGCUCUUCAAGGCAAGGGAGAUAAUUUUCUGGUGUUCUAAUUUUCGUACGACUUAACAAUUUUUCAAGAUUUUCAAUCUUUAAAAAAUCGACAAAACGAACAAAAGAAAAAUGCAAUUCAUGAAAUUGACACAUUACUUUUUUAAAAGCAACUAAUACAAAGCAUUUCUAUGGUUACUUCAUUUACAGCAAUGUUUUCAUUUUUGCAUACAAACAGAAAAACUCGCCGUUUUUGUUGUUGUUUUGAUUGCUUAUGUUUUGGGAAUUGUCUAUUCGGUAGGGCUAAUCCCUACAAAACAUUUUUAAUGAUACCUUAAACUAAGAAUUACAUAAGAAUAAAUAAGGCUUGACUUCAAAAUGAGGAUCACUGUUUUUUAAAGCAUGCAAAAGAAUAAUCCAUCCACCUGUUAUUACAAUUUAGGUAAACGAGUCUGAUUUAUGCAUUUUCAGGGACUUCCAGAAGUAUAGUUAAUUAUGUGUGAUUGUUUCUUAUUUUUUCUUACAUAUCAUAGAGUGACGUUUUUUCAUGAUAUAAAUCAGAGACACAAUGGUAUUUAUGUCUGUGAAGUAACGUUGAAUCACAAGAAUUUUUAUUCAAUUUAACUUAGAAUUUUGAUGAAUUCACUCUUGAUUGCUGAUAUGUAUUUUAUGAUAUAAUUUUUGGCAAAACCAUUACAAUAUUCUCAGGUCUUUAUCCUGGUUAAUUUCUAAAGCACUUGUACUGUACAAUAUGCAAGAAUAAUUUUUAUGCAAAUUUGAGCAAUUUAAAUCUUUUUACUUUGUUUUGUUUCAUAACUUUGUUAAAAAAUGAAUAUUUUGAUAUACACACUGAAAA